rnacentral:rRNA from 1 species
UACGUAGGGGGCAAGCGUUGGUCCGGAUUUAUUGGGCGUAAAGAGCAGUGUAGGCGGCCAUGUAGGUCCGUUGUGAAAACUCGAGGCUCAACCUCGAGACGCCGAUGGAAACCAUGUGGCUAAGAGUCCGGAAGAGGAGAGUGGAAUCCGUGGUGUAGCGGUUGAAAUGCGCAGGAUAAUCGGGGAAGAACACCUAUGGCGGAAAGGCAAGCCUCUCGUGGGAAGCGGU